AUCGCCAGGGAAUUACGAGCCCAAACUUAAAACCCAAAGGACUUGACGGUGCCCCACUCCCCCUAGAGGAGCCUGUGCUACAAUCGAUUAUGCCCGCUAAACCCGACUGCUUUUUGACCAAUCAGCUUGUAUACUUCCGUCGUAAGCCCACCAUGUUGAAUUGAAAUAUAGUGAGCCUAAAGGUCUUACUCACCAACACGUCAGGUCAAGGUGCAGCCCACAAAGCAGAUAGUAAUGGGCUACAGUUUCUACAAUAGAACCCACGAAAAAAAACCAUAAGAAAUAUGGCCACGAAGAAGGAUUUAGAAGUAAAAAGAAAAUAAAUUGUUCUUUUUAACUAAGGUGCUGGGGCGCGUACAAACCGCCCGUCACCCUCUUCAACCUAACCUAAUUGAUUAAUAACCCAAUAAUUUAACACAGAA
rnacentral:rRNA from 1 species